CAGCGUUGCCAGUUGUCCCUGGCUGUGGUGGCUGUCCUGCGGUGGUGCCAGCUGUCCCGUGGCCAUGCUGGAUGUCCCAUGGCGGUGGUGGCUCUCCCAGAGUGGUGACAGCUGUCCCAUGAUGGUGAUGGCUGUCCCAUGAUGGUGACAGUUGUUCCAUAGUGGUGACAUAUGUCCCAAGGUGGUGACUGUCCCACAGUGGUACCAGAUGUCCCAUAGUGGUGACAUCUGUCCCAUAGUGGUGACAUCUGUCCCAAGGUGGUGCUGGCUGUCCCACAGUGGCACCAGGUGUCCCAUGGUGGUGGUGGCUGUCCCAAGGUGGUGACAGCUGUCCCAUAGUGGUGACAUCUGUCCCAAGAUGGUGGUGGCUGUCCCAUAAGCGGUGACAUCUGUCCCAUAGUGGUGACAUCUGUCCCAUGGUGGUGCUGGCUGUCCCACAGUGGCACCAGGUGUCCCAUGGCACUGGUGCCAAUCCCAUGGUGGUGACAGCUGUUCCCAGAUGAUGGUGGCAGUCCCAAGAUGGUGACAUCUGUCCCAUAGUGGUGACAUCAGUCCCAAGGUGGUGCUGGCUGUCCCGCAGUGGCGCCCGGUGUCCCAUGGCACUGGUGGCAGUCCCACAGCAGUGCCAAACGUCCCAUGUGCCGCGGAGCUGCCAGGUGUCCCCACAGCUCUCCCCACGUGUCCCCGUCCCCCUGCCCUCCCUGCCACCCCCACCCCGCGGUGUCCCUGCAGCGCAGUGCGGCGAUGCGCUGGGUGUCACCCGGUGCCAGCUGUCCCCAUGUCACUCACUGCCCCGCUGCCCCCCCCCCCCCCCCCCCCCCCCGCUUUCUCUCUGGACAAACAAACGCCGGGUUCGUUUUUAAAUAAUAAUAAUUAAAAAAAAAAAAAACACAAAAGAAAA